AUAUUGAGGAACGGCUUCGGUUCCGGCGUGAUGGCCGGAUGAAAAGGGAACGCGGUGCGGGGAGAUCUCCCCAACUCCGCGGCUGCCCCCGCAACUGUAGGCGGCGAGCGACGACCGACGGCGCCACUGGGAUGUCCCGGGAAGGCCGGUCCGAGCUGCGACCCGCAAGUCAGGAGACCUGCCGGAGCGAUCACCCUUUCC
rnacentral:ncRNA from 22 species